rnacentral:rRNA from 1 species
GUGCCAGCAGCCGCGGUAAUACGUAGGCAGCGAGCGUUGUUCGGAGUUACUGGGCGUAAAGGGUGUGUAGGCGGUUGUUUAAGUUUGGUGUGAAAUCUCCCGGCUCAACUGGGAGGGUGCGCCGAAUACUGAAUGACUUGGAGUGCGGGAGAGGUGAGUGGAAUUCCUGGUGUAGCGGUGAAAUGCGUAGAUAUCAGGAGGAACACCGGUGGUGUAGACGGCUCACUGGACCGUAACUGACGCUGAGACACGAAAGCGUGGGUAGCAAACAGGAUUAGAUACCCUGGUAGUCC